GAUGAACGCUGGCGGCGUGCCUAAUACAUGCAAGUCGAGCGAACGGACGAGAAGCUUGCUUCUCUGAUGUUAGCGGCGGACGGGUGAGUAACACGUGGAUAACCUACCUAUAAGACUGGGAUAACUUCGGGAAACCGGAGCUAAUACCGGAUAAUAUUUUGAACCGCAUGGUUCAAAAGUUAAAGACGGUCUUGCUGUCACUUAUAGAUGUAUCCGCGCUGCAUUAGCUAGUUGGUAAGGUAACGGCUUACCAAGGCAACGAUGCAUAGCCGACCUGAGAGGGGGAUAGGCCACACUGGAACUGAGACACGGUCCAGACUCCUAAGGGAGGCAGCAGUAGGGAAUCUUCCGCAAUGGGCGAAAGCAUGACGGAGCAACGCCGAGUGAGUGAUGAAGGUCUUCGGAUCGUAAAACUCUGUUAUUAGGGAAGAACAGAUGUGUAAGUAACUGUGCACAUCUUGACGGUACCUAAUCAGAAAGCCACGGCUAACUACGUG
rnacentral:rRNA from 1 species